rnacentral:lncRNA from 1 species
UUCCUAACCCCCGAGGGACUGUAUUUGGAGACACUGCCACCUUAAGCAAGUCUCUCUUCUCUCUGUAGUUCCAGGCAGCACAGCUUUCUCUGCCCAAGAGUAUCACAGCCCUCCAGGAACCCCAGAGGGGAAGCAGGGACUGUCUGACGAAGAAGCUCCAUGCAGUGAGGCGCAAAGCUCUGCUGCUGAACCUGGACCACGUGUCCAUGCAUGUGGCAGCUCAUGCAUUAGCAGCGCCAGAGCAGGCUGAGCCAGCCAGCAGAGUACAGUGCAUGCAGACCAGCACCACAGAGAGGAAAAAAGAUUCAACCUUCUGCCUCAGGUCCUGCCAUUACAGGAAAUUUAAAUUGCGUUUGGUAGAAAAGAUAAUAUUUCUGGGCAAGCAGAGACAGUGAUGGCUACAACAGGACGGCAGGAAUGGGAAGACGCAACAGCGUGGGAAAUGAGUCAGCAAGUGCUGUUAAACGGUGGCGCAGAGGUGCCUUCAUCUCCUUCACAACCCCCGCCUCACUGGAGGGCACAGGGCACGGGUGCUGGCCAUCUGCCUGAGGCUGCAAGCUGGCGAGGGUGUUGCUGCCGGCAGUUGGCCCAGGCACACACCCAUUCCCUGGGGUUAAGACAACCUGCUUCUCCCUUCAGCCUUUCCAGCUGAAGUUAGCAUUUCAUUCAUUCAGUCAGUCAGCUACUCCUGCAU